AUUCAAGUAUCUUAAAUUUAAAGUUUAAUAUUGAAGUUAUUAAGAUGGGCGAGUAUACCCCUUGAAUA
rnacentral:tRNA from 1 species